UGGCUCAGACAGUAAAGCAUCUGCCUGCAAUGCAGGAGACCCAGGUUCGAUUCUUGG
rnacentral:tRNA from 1 species